GAAUGAUAAAAAAUUUCAUUUCAGUUGCAAUUCCAUGUAAACAAGUACCAUAGAAGAAACAAUAGAAGUAUUUUUAUUAUUAAAUAUUUAUGAGAGUACGCUCACUAUACAAAAAAAAUAUGCUAUUAGACAAUUGUCAUAUUCCGGACAGCAGCGGCCGGGUAUGUACUUUGGCUUGCAAUCAUCACGAUGAAAACAGGUCACAGAACUGCAUAGUAUUUCACCACCUGUGAAGGCAGAAUGGAAGAAUAUUCAAUUCGUGUACAUAUAUGUAUAUGUAUAUUGUUUAAAUAUUUGGGAUAUUUACAGCACACCGUACAUGGUGUUUCCGGAUCUACUAAUUUAUCACCAUUCAAAUAAAUUCUACCAUCUUUUUGACAAUCUACAAAAUAUAAAACAAAAAAUUAAAAAUUAUAUGGGUUUUAAAAAUUCUGUACAUUAAGAAUACAAGAAGGAAUAAUUGCAAAGAGAAAUUCAACUUUGUAGGUAUAAAUGGCCCAAAAUUGUAUGUUAAUUGAAAAUGUGCACUGAUCAUCUAUAUCUGAAAUUUUGGGAAAUUUAAUACCGUAUUGAUAUUGCAUAAUGAAUACAAAAAAAAAACAAAAGUUACGAUCUUGUUUUAGAUGAUAACGCUCUGAAGAUGUUAUUUUUGAAACCUAUGUUAAAAUAUUCUUAUAAAAUAAAAAAAAAUAGUUUUUAUGUGUGUCAAAUAUAAUUGUCUAUAGUUAGAAAUCUCAAUAGGUUCCCAUUUGUCUAAAAGAGGUCCUUAAGGAAAUAAAACUCGUAUCAAGCGAGAAAGAACAAUGGGUCUAAUUAUUGAAUCCGCAUCGAAAUCGAAUUCGUUGGGGAAAGAGUUUUCGAUCGAAAAUGUUCAUGCGAUCAUUUAUACCGUCAGGAUUAUCAACAAAUUUGAAAAGUUUGAAAAAUUAAAUAAAUUGUCUUAGCUUUUUGCUUCGUUUUUACAAAUAUUUAAAAUGGAUAGUGAUGAUGAAAUUAGUGGAAACAUUCGUCGUGAGCGCAGAAAUUUGACGAAUUUUUCAAAAGACGUGUUGGAAAAGGAUGACUAUAAGUGCAAUGCGCAUAUGUAUGUAUGCACAUACGCAGUUUCAUAAAAAAAUUUCGGAUCAACAAAAGGGGAUUUAUAUACACUUUAGGGGAAUGCGAAAAUAAACUUGCAAAUGACGAAAAAUGAGGUUCUUUCUCCAACAAUAAAACUUGCUCCAUGUCUUCGUUUUUUAGCCACAGAUGAAGUAUUCAACAUUCUUGAUUAGAGGCUAUGUUCAAGGUGGAUUUCCAUUGACAAGACCUCCAGCAAGGAAUUGGAAGCAAAAACAUAUUUUUUUGGCAAAUCAAAAAUUCCUGGUGUGGCAAUAGCAGUUGAAGGAACUCACGUGAAGAUAAUGGUGCCGUAAAGAGAUAAGCAUCUGUAUUUUGAACGAAAAUUAUUCUCAAGUCUUAAGGCGGUUGACCAC
rnacentral:lncRNA from 1 species